GAGCGGGCGUAGCAAUACGUCAGCGGCAGACGGCGUGAGUAACGCGUGGGAACGUACUUUCUGUUUCGGUACAACUGAGGGACAUUUGGGAUAAUACCGGAUAAGCCCUAACGGGGAAAGAUUUAUCGCCGAAAGAUCGGCCCGCGUCUGAUUAGCCAGUUGGUGAGGUAACGGCUCACCAAGGCGACGAUCAGUAGAUGGUAUGAGAGGAUGAUCAGCCACAUUGGGAUUGAGACACGGCCCAAACUCCUACGGGAGGCAGCAGUGGGGAAUAUUGGACAAUGGGCGCAAGCCUGAUCCAGCCAUCCUGCGUGAGUGAUGAAGGCCAUAGGGUUGUAAAGCUCUUUUGUGCGGGAAGAUAAUGACGGUACCGCAAGAAUCAAGCCCCGGCUAACUUCGUG
rnacentral:rRNA from 1 species